GUUCGUAAUUUGAAAUUUAAACAAGGUUGUGCCUGAUUUUUGUGCUUCUCUCGAAGGAACUCAAGGAGGAGGAACUCGAAACGCAUAAGAUUGGGGCAAAUCAUGAAGGAUUUCAUCUUCGUUUGAUGAUUGACUCAAGGAGGAGCAACUCGAAACGCUUGUGGUUGUUGUUACAUGUGAAUGGAUGAUAAUUUUGCAGAUGAAUAGAAUUACUGCCAAAGGGAGCGAUAUUUGAUAAGGUUCUCGAUGUUUGCUUGAUGUACUCUCUGAAUUUGGCUCAUCUUUUGUUUUUCGAGUAACAUUAAUAUGUGUCUUAGGGGCUACAUCGAGUCUUCUUUGUUCUUUAUAUGAGUCCGUUUUGUCACUUCA